rnacentral:lncRNA from 1 species
CCAAGGUAACCUCCUCAUCUCAAGAGCCUUAGUUUAAUCACGCCUGCCAAUUUCCUUCUGCCAUUUCAAGUAACAAAUUCGCAGGUUCUGGGGAUUAAGGCAUGAACAUCUUUGGGAGAAAAUUCACCAAGAUUCAGCUGAGCACACGACUACUCAGCUAAACACCACAUUUCCAGCCUCUUUUGCAGCUCAGUAUGGACCUGUGACUGAGUCUUGGCCAAUGAGAUGUAAACAGAAGUGAUGUGUUUGUCUUCUAGAUCAUUCCUUCAGGAACAGGAUGUACCCACCAUCACCUCUUCUCCCCUUCCCACUGGCUGGAAGGUAAAAGUUAUGGCAGGAGCUGAAGCAGCCAUUUUAGAGCAGGAGGUGGAAUCACAUGCAGCAAGAUGGAAGAAAUCUGGAUCUCCAACGAGACAGAAGAAGCCUGGAUUUCCAAAACCACAGAACCAACCUCCCAGCCCUGAACAAUCUACUUCGAUAUUUAUCUAGGGUUCCGGAUGAGGAUUCAGUUCUGCCAAUUAGAAGCACUUGACGCAAGUUGGCAAAGGCCCGCCCCCUGUAGCUUUGGCUGUUGAGCCUGCACCUGAGAACCAAGCAUCCGAGCUUGUCCUCCCUCAGGGUCUUGCCCAGAGUAAUCCUGGAACCAGCAACAACCAUGACUGUGCAGACACUGUGUUUUUCCACAGCAGCCUUCCAGUGUUCUGUCACCAGCCUCGCAUGUGUUA